rnacentral:rRNA from 1 species
UACGAAGGGUGCAAGCGUUAAUCGGAAUUACUGGGCGUAAAGCGUGCGCAGGCGGUUUUGUAAGUCUGUCGUGAAAGCCCCGGGCUCAACCUGGGAAUGGCGAUGGAUACUGGGCAGCUAGAGUGUGUCAGAGGAUGGUGGAAUUCCCGGUGUAGCGGUGAAAUGCGUAGAGAUCGGGAGGAACAUCAGUGGCGAAGGCGGCCAUCUGGGACAACACUGACGCUGAAGCACGAAAGCGUGGGGAGCAAACAGG